GCCGUCAGGGCAUUCUAGCCCAGGCAUUCACAGUAAUACUCUCAAAAACAAAACAAAAACAAAAAACAAUAAAUGUCGGUGAAGAUGUGGACAAAUUGGAACUUUCAUGCACUGGUGGAGACAAUGUACAAUGGUGUCACUGCUGUUGAAAAUAGUGUGGUGGUUCUUCAAAAAAUUAAACAGAAUCACUGGGUCCAGCAACCCCACCUGUGGGCAUAUACCCAAAGGUAUCAAAAGCGCCAUCUCAAAGAGGUAUUUUUGUCCACUCACGUUCACAGCAGUGUUAUUCACAGUAGCCGAAAGGUGGAAGCAACCCAAGUGUUCACCAGUGUCGAUGGAUGAACCAAACAUGGUCGAUACACACAGUGGACUGUUAUUCAGCCUGAGAAAAGAAGGGGACUCUGACACAUGCUACCACAUGGACCAACCUGGGGACAUUGUGCUGAGUGAAUACAUCCAUCACAAAAGAUUGCAUAUCAAGCCCAGGAUGAAAGAGAGACCCUCGGCCUGUCGUGCCUUCCCCAGCAAAAGUGAGUUCACGGUGACCAUGUGGUCCUCUUUGUGGAAAUGCUGCCAGCAGGCUCUAAGCAGUGCAGCAGUAGCAGGGUGACAUCUGAGGCCCAGGGCUCCACCACGCUCCUGGUGAGCUACACACACGGCCACAGCCACCUGCGUGCCAGGAUCACCAUCGCUGCCUACCUGCCCCUCGAGACAGAGCUGCUCCUCAGAGAAGGCUCCGGAUACUUCUUCCUCAACACGAGCACCACAGACGUCGUCAGGGUGGCAUCCCAGGAGGCCAGGAGAGUCACCGUGAUGAGUUUGCUUUAGUUCCUCAUCCGGGACACCGUGUGAUUGAAACACUCAUCUCUACAGACAGUCAUGGAAAAUAAACAACCUACUACUGAAGGAUUAUGGGUUCAAGGAGGAAAUUAAGAUGGAAAUCAAAACAUUCUUUGAAUUAAAUGAAAGAGGUGACAUAAGUCAUCGAAAGCUGUAGGACACAGCUAAAGCAGUCCUGAGAGGAAAACAUGUAGUGAUAAAUUCCUACAUCCAAAAUGCAGAAAGAUCACAAAUAAAUAAUCUAAUGAAUUAUCUCAAAGAACUGGAAAAAGAUGAGCAAACCAGUCCUAAACCCAGUAGAAGAAAAUAAAUAACAAAUAGAAGUGUGUCUGCAGGAACAUCAGUGGACACAGGAGGUCCUCUGAAAGCAGCUCAUAGUAAAGGAACCAGCGCCUCUUACAGCUGAGGGAGAAGAGGUUCCAAAGUCCUGACUUCAAGUCCCAAGUCUGCUACAUCCUAGCUGGGUCUCCCUGAGGAUAUCACUCAGAGUCUCUGAGCCAGAUUCUUCAACAAGCAAACUGGAUAUUAAGAACAACCACAGAAACCAUCUCAGGGCUGCUGUGGGGCUACCUGAGGCAGAGGAUGUGAGGUACUUGACUCACAGAGAAUGCCAGUUGGCUUGGGGACCCAGAGAGUGAAGCUGGGUCUCCCUUACAGUCAACUAGCUAGCCGUAUGGUCAACUCUCAGAUCAGAUCAUGCAGCUAUGGAGUGGACUUCCCUAGAGGUAGUGAGCUCUCUAUCACCAGAGGUAUUCAAGCCAGAUUUAGAUCUGUAACCUCUAAACCAGGAGCCACCAGCCACAUGAGUGCUUGGAAUGCUGCUAGUCUCAACUGCGACUAUGUAAAUGUAAAUGUAAAUGUAAAUCUAAUGCCAGAUUUCAAAAAUUUAUUAGAGAAAAAAAUGUAAAAUAUCUCAGUAUUUUAUAUUGACUACAUAUUUAAAUGAUACUAUUUGGGAUAAAUGCAAUUAAAUAAUAUAUUAAUUUUUACCUUUU